AUACGGAGGGUGCGAGCGUUAAUCGGAAUUACUGGGCGUCAAGCGUACGUAGGCGGUUGGUUAAGUUAGAUGUGAAAGCCCCGGGCUUAACCUGGGAACUGCAUUUAAAACUGGCGAACUAGAGUUGAGUAGAGGGGAGUGGAAUUUCAGGUGUAGCGGUGAAAUGCGUAGAGAUCUGAAGGAACACCAGUGGCGAAGGCGACUCCCUGGACUCGAACUGACGCUGAGGUACGAAAGCGUGGGUAGCAAACGUGAUUAGAAACCCCAGUAGUCC
rnacentral:rRNA from 1 species